GACGAACGCUGGCGGCGUGCUUAACACAUGCAAGUCGAACGCUGAAGCCCUGGCUUUUGUUGGGUUGGAUGAGUGGCGAACGGGUGAGUAACACGUGAGUAACCUGCCCUCUUCUUUGGGAUAACGCCCGGAAACGGGUGCUAAUACUGGAUAUUCACUGAUCUUCGCAUGGGGGUUGGUGGAAAGGUUUGUUCUGGUGGGGGAUGGGCUCGCGGCCUAUCAGCUUGUUGGUGGGGUGAUGGCCUACCAAGGCUUUGACGGGUAGCCGGCCUGAGAGGGUGACCGGUCACGUUGGGACGGAGAGACGGACCAGAAUCGUACGGGAGGCAGCAGUGGGGAAUAUUGCACAAUGGGCGAAAGCCGGAUGAAGGGACGCAGCGUGAGGGAGGGAGGCCUUCGGGUUGAAAACGUCUUUCGCUCAGGGUAAAGCCGCAACUGUGGGUUGUGGUGAGGGUAGUGGGUAAAGAAGCGCCGGCUAACUACGUG
rnacentral:rRNA from 1 species